rnacentral:tRNA from 1 species
ACAUUGGUGGGUCAGUGGUAGAACCCUUGCCUUCCAUGAAGAAGACCCAGGUUCAAUUUCUGGCCCGUGUA